UAUAUUAUUUUAAUUAUUAUUGCUCGGCAUCAAACCACUUAAAAAAUCAUGGUAAAAGACAUUUUAAACUUUCACCAACUGUCAUAUUUCAUGGGACACCCUGUACUUAAAUUUGUAUUGUUCUUCAUUAAAGAACAACAUGCCUAUCGCGCAUGUAAAGGCCCCAAACUGUCCUUAAUAUUUUACAAUUUUUAAAAAACUCAGAUAAAAAAUGUUCAGUUUAACCUGUAUACCUAACAAGGGUCUCGGAUUGAUAUCCAAUAUUCCUAUCCCUGCAGGUCAACUCAUACUUCAGGAGCCUCCGAUUCUCAGUGUGAUAGCUGUGGAUGGAAAGCUAAGUCCGAAGGCUGGUGUGGAUCUAGAAAGACAGUACAGCAGAUUAAGUGAUGACAGGAAAAUGCAA